CAGCCAUAUUGAGCACAUUUUUAUUCCCAUUUUGUUGAUGUGAAAACAGAGGCUUUAUGGACUGAAAACUCCCCACAACUAGUGAGUGAUGGAGCCGAGACACCAGAGCCUGUGACCAUAAUCACCCACAUUGCUUCUUAUUGUCAUUCUCAUGGGACACCACUACAGGGAAAACUCUGGUGCUGGCCAGCAUGCAGGUGUCUAAGGAAGACUUGUCUUCCUUUGUUUCUUUCUCUUCUCCCAUAUCAUGGUAUUAUCCUUCUUGGGUCAUUUCUCUCCCUCCCCCACCCCUGUGCCCUGCAGUGUGCGAGAACUGCAUGGAGGUGGACCUGACAGCAGUAUCCAUAAUCAUCAUUGUUGACAUCUGCAUCACUCUGGGCUUGCUGAUGGUCGUUUAUUACUGGAGCAAGAAAAGGAAGGCCAAGGCCAAGCCUGUGACCCGAGGAACUGGUACUGGUGGCAGGCCCAGAGGUAAAGCCCAGGGCUGG
rnacentral:lncRNA from 1 species